UACAUGAAGCUGGAAUCGCUAGUAAUCGCGGAUCAGAAUGCCGCGGUGAAUACGUUCCCGGGUCUUGUACACACCGCCCGUCACACCAUGGGAGUCGGAAAUGCCCGAAGUCUGUGACCCAACCUACGGGAGGGAGCAGCCGAAGGCAGGUCGGAUGACUGGGGUGAAGUCGUAACAAGGUAAC
rnacentral:rRNA from 1 species